UACGGAGGGUGCCAGCGUUAAUCGGAAUUACUGGGCGUAAAGCGCGCGUAGGUGGCCUGAUAAGCCGGUUGUGAAAGCCCCGGGCUCAACCCGGGAACGGCAACCGGAACUGUCAAGCUAGAGUGCAGGAGAGGAAGGUAGAAUUCCCGGUGUAGCGGUGAAAGGCGUAGAGAGCGGGAGGAAUACCAGUGGCGAAGGCGGCCUUCUGGACUGACACUGACACUGAGGUGCGAAAGCGUGGGUAGCAAACAGG
rnacentral:misc_RNA from 1 species